CCGCGAUUCCCGCAGCAGAAAAAUUGGCAUUGACGCUGCGAUUUCUCAGCACUGGAGAGUCUUACGUGAGUUUGGAUUACCAGACCCGUUUAUCCAAAUCUUCAAUUUCCAGUAUAGUUCCUGAGGUAUGCAGUGCCCUUUAUAACAAAUUGAAAUCGUCGUAUUUAAAGUUUCCAAACAGCAAUUCAGAAUGGGAGGCCAUUGCAAAAGAAUUUGCAGUUAAAUGGCAAUUCCCCAACUGCAUUGGCGCGUUAGAUGGUAAGCAUAUAACUUUUCGUCCAUCACGUU